rnacentral:rRNA from 1 species
GUGGAUUAGAUACCCGGGUAGUCCACGCCCUAAACGAUGUCUACUAGUUGUUGGGAGAGUAAAAUCUCUUAGUAACGCAGCUAACGCGUGAAGUAGACCGCCUGGGGAGUACGGUCGCAAGAUUAAAACUCAAAGGAAUUGACGGGGGCCCGCACAAGCGGUGGAUUAUGUGGAUUAAUUCGAUGCAACGCGAAAAACCUUACCUGGCCUUGACAUGUAGCGAACUUAGCAGAGAUGCUUUGGUGCCCGAAAGGGAACGCUAACACAGGUGCUGCACGGCCGUCGACAACU